GGGCCUGCUACAUAAAUAAACCAUUUCAUGCGCAAGAGGGUGGAUCCAGGUCUCCAAACGGGCUGACACGCGGACCCUAUCCCCCCCCCUUUGAAACGGCGCCGUUUCAAUAACAGGGCAUUUAACCUUCCUUUUCCCAUUCCUUCCCCAAAACGCAGCUAAUCUUUCCAAAUAAAGUAUAUGCUAUCAGCCCAAUCCCUUAGGGUUUCAUCUAGCAAGCGCCGCCAACAGGAGGAGCAUUUGAGUCAUGAAACCAAUUUGCAGCCUUAAGAUCUCUCCCUUGUUUUCUAUUUCAACAAAACAAAGAAGAUCCAUGGCGAAUUUGCAAAGUAUAGAGAAGCGACCGUACGGAGAAAAUCGCUCGUGAAAGCCGUGAUUGCAGCACUGGUGUGUUCUAGAAACCCCUAGUGCUUUCGGCUGCUGAGAUUCCCCUUUUGGGUUCUUUCGAGUUUGGGCCUUUUUGCAAAUCGGGCUUAAGGAUAUUGGUCUUUGGGCCUCUGUAUAUGUUUGGGCUAUUCGGGCAUUGGACUAGAUCUGUUUUUUUUAUUUUUGGGGCUAGUAUAAGUUUAGUGUUUAUUAAAGGUUGUAAAUAGACUAUUUGGACUUUAUUUGGGUUUAUUUGACUGACUAUUUAUUUAUUGCGAGUGAAAAAUAAAGGGCCGGGCAAAAUUGGUUGACUACA